UUUGCACUAUGACAUUAAUUUUAUUUAUUUAUUUAUUGUUAUUAUUAUUUUUGUGAUGAAAUAUUAACAUAAUGGAUGAUGGUUGGGAACUUAGUGAGCUUUUAACUCCAUAUCUAGUGUUAAAUUAUCAUAAAAUUUAAUUUACAUAAGUACAAAAUGAUAUGUGUUCAUAAUUGGAUGUUCAUAUAAUUGUCUCUAAAAUUGUGACAGACCAUAGCAUUUAAGAAUAUCAUUACUGACCUUAAUAAAUGAGAAAAAUUGAAUGACAAUAACUAUAAUAUUUAGCACCAUGAAAUUUGGCAAGUGUUGGAGAAAUAAGAUUGUCUUGAGAGUAUUAACCACAUAAUACAACCUAGGGAUGGGCCAGACUACUCAACACAGAAGGUUUCAAGAAAUUUACCAAACAAGGAAAAAAUAUUCCAAUACUUGUGCGAUUUUUCUAAGUUCCAUGUUGGAUGAUCUCGUUCAGAAGUGUGAACAGUUCUCAACUGCUCAUUUGUUUAGGUAUAUCUGAGAGAGAAAUAUGGUGGCACUAGUGUAACUAGACUUAGAUAGCUGAUUAUUAAAUUUGACACAUACAAGAACUCCUAACCACAAGAUCACACAACAUGUGAGGACCAUGUCUAACAUGAUUUGGGAGUUAAAGUUGACUUGUCACAUACUCUAUGAUGAAUAGCAAGUUCAAGCUUUGAUCCACUCUAUUCCUGAUAAUUGAGAGCAUCUGAAAGUCAAUUUGAUUUAUAAUGAUAGCAUCAAAACAUUUGCUGAUGAUACCCACAAUGUGGAAUUAGAGGACGAGUGAUUUGGUACUGCUAAAUCUCUAGGAUAUGCUUUUGUGGUUGAGUCUAGUUCUUCAAAAGCUCCAGCCUUUUAAGUGUAAAAAGAACCGUAUCAAAUGUAGGAAAGGAAAAAGGAAAGAAAAUGGAUAGGGACCUAAGAAGAACAAUUACUAACGCAACAAGAAGAAAAAGUGAUUUGGAAAGAAUAAAGACAAGAGCAAGCUGAAAUACUAUAAUUAUCUGGUGCUGAUUUUCUCGGGAAUGUCUUGAGUCAAAGAAGACUCAAGAUCUAUAGACCAUGUCAUUAGAGAUCGAUAAGCGUUUAUGGAGUUUCAUCGAUUUCUAGUUUCUAUAAAAUGGAUAUACAUGGACAACGGUGAUAGAUUGGAGGAGAAAGCAAAUGGUACAUGUAAAUUGCAUUUGUGUGGUGGCCGUACUAUUUUUCUUCAUAAUGUCCUGCUUGCACCAGUGAUGAGACGAAACUUAAUUUCUGUUACUGUUCCUUUAAGAUUAGUUUUCUUUUGAACUUUCGUGGUAUUUCUAUGCGUAUUUGUAAUGGUAAUAUAUAUAAUGACUCUGGAUAUGUAUCUUGUGGUUUUUUGAUGUUGGAUUAUGAGCCAAACACUUAAUAACUAUUAUGUUGAUUGUUGUUUU